rnacentral:rRNA from 1 species
UAGAGUUUGAUCCUGGCUCAGAAUCAACGCUGGCGGCGCGCUUAACACAUGCAAGUCGAGCGAGAAAGGGGAGCAAUCCAUGAGUAGAGUGGCAAACGGGUGAGUAACACGUGGGUGACCUGCCUUCGAGUGGGGGAUAACGUCCCGAAAGGGACGCUAAUACCGCAUAACAUGCUGUCGUUUAAAAGACGGACAUCAAAGCCGGGGACCGCAAGGCCUGGCGCUUGAAGAGGGGCCCGCGCCUGAUUAGCUAGUUGGUGGGGUAAUGGCUCACCAAGGCAACGAUCAGUAUCCGGCCUGAGAGGGCGGACGGACACACUGGGACUGAGACACGGCCCAGACUCCUACGGGAGGCAGCAGUGGGGAAUUGUUCGCAAUGGGCGCAAGCCUGACGACGCAACGCCGCGUGGAGGAUGAAGAUCUUCGGGUC